rnacentral:tRNA from 1 species
GCCCCUAUAGUGAAAUGGAUAUCAUAUUUGGCUUCGAACCAAAAGUUGGGAGUUCGAAUCUUCCUAGGGGCA